GAACGAAAAGCAACCCAGCCAAGGGAAACACUCGAGUGCACAGCCGAGGUUACCUCGCUUCCAAAGUCUCACAGUCAUCUGAGCCUCCACAACCAAAUCACCGUGUAUAACAGUCGAUCCGGUAACCGAGUUGUGAGGCUCAGCCCGGAAAAGGAUAGCCCACCUGGCCCCCAAAAGCCAACCAAAGAGAAAAUAAUCUCAACAAGCAACAGAGAUUUGCUGCACUGUGAACAUGACGAGAACAAAGAGGCUGCCAAGAAAGAACAAUCCCUUGCUACAGCAAGAAGUCUGAAGGAGCUGGCUAUAGAGGGCUCAAGACGUCUGUCCUAAACCAGAAUCUGCAUUUCAAAAAGGAAGAGGAAGAGGAAGAAGAGACCGCAGCAACAACAGUAACAACAUCAUCAUCAUCAACAACAACAACGAAAGUAGACUAAAGUCACACCUAAAAAUUCUUCAGGCAAAGAUAGAAUCAAGCAACAAGUAUCCAGGUCACUUUACGUAAGCUGGGAAGGUGUCAGACAGAAACACUCCCAGGAAUCUCAGAAGUCAUCCUGAUUCACACAGACUUCUCCGAGGGUGGCACAGGGAGCAACGAGAAGAGAAAUAUGCAAACAACAAGACUUUCUGCUCAGUCUUUACGAACUCUCUAGACUUGGAUGGAGAAGAGACAGGUCCCACAAGGUCAACUGGUCUAGUCAGCUGCAUUCGGCCUGUUUCUUCACCUGUGAAGCAGUACUCGUGGUAGUGUCUUACCUCUUAGGCUCACGGAAAAAUGAACCAAGAAGGCACUGCCCAGGGCAGGGUCAAGGGUGGUGCAAUAAAAAUGCUUGCU
ensembl:lncRNA LOC102549926 uncharacterized LOC102549926